GAUCAUUUCCGUUUUCUUACAGGGUACAAGUGUGAGUCUAAGCAAGCCUUGUAUUUUCACUGUUGUUACAUUUUAGUCUUUAAAGCCACGGCACCACACUUCAAAUCCAUUCAUUACAUGGACUCUCUGAUUUUUUUGCGUAUUUUACUUCUGCGUGUAUCACACUUAACAUGAUGCCCUCACAUAGUUGAUGGUUUCUCGUUAUCUGUGCCUUGAAGUUCCGGAGCCUUUUACCCACAUGACACUAAUCUUAGACGAGUCAUCAGGAGAUGACAUGCGAGAAACAUCUACAGAUCUACAGAUCUGAGCACUUCCCGCUACUUUAUAUAAAGUAGUGGUCAGAACAUCAGGACAUGCAGAGCUCUUCUCAACUUCCAACUUUGAGUGCUACAGUCAGAGCUCCGAGGAUGUUCUCGCAGAGAGGCUGAAAUGAGCUGAACUUCUAUCAGAUUUGAUCCUCUCACGUCCAUCCCUCUGUCUCACCAGCAGCAAGAAACAACAAUGGCGCUACUCAGCGUGAAGACGUAUCUGGCUCUGCUGUGGGGAAUAUCUCUUUUGUUUGCUGUGGAGUCCAUGAGUGCUUCCGUCUCAACUGCUGAACCUCGCAAACCUGCAGAGAUUAGUGUCGCAGCGCCGGCGGAGACCACUGUGUCACCCGCAGUUGAAACGGCAAAGGCGGUCGUCACUCACGGAAGCGAUGGCACUUCUGAUUUGAUUCCCGUGAAAACUGUAGCAGCAACUACAAGCAGCACAGAUCCUUCCCGCAGCACGACAAAAGCCGCAGAGGAUCAGAUACACCAACAACCAACCACCGCUUCUACUGGCGCGGCUGCUCCCGCAACAGCUUCUGCAGCAACAGUGGCCGUGUCUUCGCCGAAGCCUACAUCCACCGCUAAGCCUGAAGUUACAUCCCGGUUAUCUUCCACCACCUCUCCUGCUAAUUCUACUCCUCCGGCUCCAGUCGUCAUGCCGACCCCCAGCAGUC